UUCAAAUAAAACGGACAAAGACAAAGUUAUUGCAAACCAAAGACCUUUACCGGAAGGUUGCUUGUCUCCCUUGUGAACAAGGGCAUGUCCUUUUUCCUCUCCUCCAUGGAAUGGAGCACAGGAAAUGAACACAAAUAACGCAAUGGUAUACGCACGUGCUGUUUGGGUGGAGAAUGGGAAGCAGACGGAAGGAGUUUUGCCAUUGAACUGGAUUGACACAGAGACCAAAGUGGUGCGAUGCCCUCUAAAAAACGUGUCUGUGGCACAUAAGCGCCUUUUACAACCACAAGAGGACUGGUUAAGCUUUGAAUUUGUUAAAGUCAAAGUGACAUCAGUAAGCCGACAGGAGUGUGAAAAAUAUAAUUACCACUCAGCUCAAACCGAAGAGGAGGACACAGUCAGUCAAAAGAGAAUGAAGAAAAGAAGGAAAAUUUGAAGAUUAUGUUCAAGGGUCAGAUUUGUCUCCUGAGGAGGAUGAGUCCUUGCCAGACAAGAAAAAGGG